GGACCUGGUGAUGCCACCCCAGUGGGCUCCCAGCAGCUAGAAAUCAGACACAGUGUCUCCCUGUCAGCUUCAAAGGACUUGUGACCCUCUUGACUUCAGCCCAGUGAAGAUGAUUUAGAUUCCUGGCCUCUUUGCCUGUAUAAAAAUAAAUCUGUGCUUUUUGAGUCACCGAGUUUAUGGUAAUUCAUUACAGCAAAUACCAGGCACUCACAUUAAAAGAAGAAAAAGAGCAGCGGGUGGCUUUGAAAGCCAUCUGCAGUGAAGGAUCCCUUAGCAAAGCUGUCCCUCAACACCUCCAUGCCAGUGCUUCUUCACAUUAAGACUCCAAGAAUGACCGUUUCCCGCGGGAAAGAGAGCAGCCGAACGCCAAACAUCAGCACAAACAGAAGGUGUUGGAGAGACUCCUUAGGAUCCGGAGACGGGCGGUGAAAUAUCUAAGAGGGCCUCUGAGGUAGCUGGUUAAAAUGCAGCCGCUGCACAGCCAAAGCCGGAACUGUCAGGGAACUGAAGCCCCCUGGCCCUGAACCAAAUCCCGGCACAGGAAAGCCAGGCUGUUUCUUACAGGAAACCCCAUCCAGCGAAUGCCCACUGCUGCCAGUGCCUGUGCGCACCCCGGAGACGCAUCAGACAACCAGCAAAACCAGGCCCAUUGGACUUCACAGAUCUCUCCUGGUGCAGCCGGUUCGGAACCUUGUGGAGUUGGCUGCCUGCCCGAGAAACACAUGUGCAAUCCCACCCUUCCUCAACCAACCUACACACUGAAUGUACAUGCCAACUAGAUGCCACGUGAGUGAUAUACUCAGACAAGAGAGGAUGCUGUCCCUAUUUCCAGAUGCUUCGAGUAGGAGCUAAGGUGAAGGUGGUGGAGGUCUCUAGUCGGAUGCUCAAUUCAGACCCCUUUUAAAUGUACUCUAUCGAGGGUGAUUACCCUACAUAAUCAACAUUUUAACAAGAACCUCUGGAGUCACUGUUAAUCACCUCAGUACUCCUUCAUGUCCAUGGCUCACUCUGCAACACAGAGAACCAGGCUUCAACCAGGAAUGCAUUCACCAGAUCUGCUUCCGAAGACACUGGGACAUUCCUCCAAGGCUUGAGUGCAGAAGUCUGUCUUCAGUCCACUCACUGGUCAGCCACAGCCAUCCACGGGUCCAUUCACAGAUGUAGUCGGGCGGGGUGGGGGGCAGCGGCAAUGGUCUUGAAUUUGCAGAGAUUCUCUUCACACUUGACGUUUGGUGGAGGGACAAGGCUGGGCAAUUAAAAUAUGGUUGGACCCACCUCCUCAGAGUAGAGGGAGAUUCUCUGCUGUCUUGUCAGCAAAAGAUGCACCAAUGUGCAGGGAAGGAAGAACACAGAGAUACAGAAUUCUAUCAAUCAGUGUUUUGAUGGGCCGGGAAGGAGAUGAAUUUAAUCUUCUCUUUAAUUGUUUGUCAUUGCAUACAAGCUGAAAGCUAAGGUGGCGCUCACAAAUCUGCCUUUCUCCCCAGCAACUGAAUUUUAAUAUCAAGGCAGUGAAGGUCAUUGCAGAAUUUGCCUUAUGUUUGUAUGAACUAAAUCUGGAGACAAUCUCAAAUAUUUACACUCAGUGCCAACUCCGUUCUUUAAAGGGUAGGAGGGAAAGGUGAAUGCCACGUGUAGGUCCUGUGGAUGCCCUCCAAUCCCACGCUCCUCUCUGGAGGAGGAGAGAGUGACAGGACACUGGAGAUGCUGCUAGGAGAGACUGAGCUCGCCAAUCACUUCCCUGCUGCAAGGAGGACUAGGGAUAUCUCUCCCACCAACUUACAACCCAGCCUCAAGGCUACUGACUCAAGACACAGAAACAAGAUCGGGUGUCAGGACAUACAAUACAAAUUCUGAAAGUAACAAAGUUACAUUGCCUUUCAUUGUCUGUUUCAUCUAAUUUUAGGUGAGCCAAUUUGAUUGCAACAUGUGGAUCUAAAUAGUAUGAGGACGAUUUUGUUAAUUAACCCUGUCAUGUUACACAAAUAAGGUAUUUUUUUCCCUUAAAUUCUUACACCUGCUGUAUUAAUCUGUUCUGUUACCAAAAUGAAAUGCUCAAGGUAGAAUAGUUUCUUAAGAGAAUAAGGAAGAGGAGGAGGAAGAAAAAUUGGAAAAUGAAGCUGUUGUUUGUCUGGAGUUAAAUUCUGGAGGCACAAAGGUAGAAAGGGCUGUGCCUGGUGAUGGCUUCUUGCCAGCACCGUCCUAAAACCACAAACACAGAGGGUGUCAAACGCCAAGAGACGGGGAGCAUCGCUGGUCUCUUCCUCCUCUAGAAACUCAGGAGGAUCCAGCCACGGACAUUAUCUAAUCCCUUCCCAGAAACCCAACCAUAAAGCUCAUAGGUCCUUUAGCUUUAACCCUCUAACAGCUUGUGAUACAGAUCAAAUUUCAACCCAGGAAGCCUUGGGAGACACUCAACCCAUCUGGCCCAUGGCAUUUGGAAGUUGGUAUUUCUUCCAGGGCUUGCCAUACACAGCACAGGAAAUUUUCAGAAUUCUUUCUCAGACGUUGCUUUUGGUUUCCUGGCUGUUGUGAAGUGCACAGUGGUAGCAAGCAAUUCUUCAGGACUGCAACUGACUUAAAGUUCCUGCCCUCAUAAUUUUUGUCCUCGGGGGUCCUUUUACUCAGGUAAAAUUUAUUAUGACUUCAAAGGGCUUUUUUCAUGUGACCUGAAUGCUGUUAUUAACCAUGUCAGGAAACAGCAUAGAAAAUUUAAAUUAGUUAUCACCUUAUUAGUUAUUACCUUAGAACAAUAACAAAUAUAUUACAUUACCACUUUGUUAACGUUUAUAUUAAUAUUUUUAUGAAAUUUCUCCAAAACAAAAGAGGCUUCUGUGGGAGGGACGAUGUUAUUUUAUAUCGUUUUUUAAGCCGUUGUGCUGUCAGGCUAACAGAACAACUGCGUUUCUAUGCAGUUCCACUCAGGACCUACUGCAAUAUCUUUUUAACUGAGCACAUAAAGAAAGGCUGGUCUUUUGCUGAUUUGUAAGUGAAAGGGGGGAUUGUUUUAAAGUCUUUCCAGGCCACAGUAGCCUUCUUUGAUACUGUGCCAAAGUUCAACAAAUGAUGGUUUCUUGGUAGUUCCCAGCAAAGUAGAAUUUGAAGCAAGACCAACAAACUUCUCGUAUUUUGCUGCAUCAAAACCCAGUCUGUCUUCUACUUAAAAAAAAAAAAAAAAGUCAUUUCAGGAGCUAAAAUGUCUUUGUGGGAAGAUAAGUUUCUGUCUUUUGAUGUCAAAUAUUUUAGUCAGUACCAAGCUUCAUCUUUUGAAGUCAAUUAAGACAAUUCAUGAAGAUGACCUACUGUAAGCAUUGAGACUGCCUUCGAUCAGACAGCUUAUGAGAAGCUGGGUUGUGUCAAAAGCCACAAAACUUAACACCAUCAAACAAAAGAAAGAUGUGUUUUAUCCCAGUGAGGCCCAAUUGCUUUAAGCCAUAUUCCAAAGUCUGUGUUUGGUAAAAGGAUGUUUUAGAUAUCGUAUGGGUUCCACUGAACAGGGAUUUUCUACUGCACUGAUGCAAACAUUCCAUUCCAUCUUUCCUCUGGAAGUGUGACUUGUGGGGACAGAGUUUAACACAGGUGAAUCACAAACUCCAGUGACCUCAUUGGAUCUCAUGAAGAUAGUGAAAGGAGAAAAGCUAGACUGGUGAGCACACUGAGACUGGGCUGCCUGAAACUCGAUCACACGGCUUCCUGGCCAGCAAACAAAAGAAAGAUGUGUUUUAUCCCAAUGAGGCCCAAUUGUUUUAAGCCAUAGUCCAAAGUCUCUGGUAAAAGGAUGUUUUAGAUAUCGUAUGGGUUAUGUAAUUAUUAUAUAUAGUUUAUCUACAUAAACUGAGUGCUCACAAACUAGAAUAUUUUAGCUCACUUCUAAUUUCUCUUUCAUCACCCAAUCCCAAUUGAAAAAAACGUAAAAUUGUGUCCAUGGAUUCAGGAAAAAAAAAAAAGUUAGACAUUUUGUCAUGCAAUGUCGAUUUUUAAACUAUAUUUUAAACCAAAGUCAGAGAUGACAUUUUACUAAUAUGGGAAAAAGAUGUUGAAAUAAUUUUGUAAUGUUCUUAUAAGUUGCAAAGUUAGCCACAAUUGAAAUUAUUAUCUAUUUUAUCUGUCUUGAUGAUAUUCUCUCAAAUAUAAUAAACUGGGGCUCAGGGUCUUGAAAUAGGCAAUAAAACUGAUACUUACAAAAAAUGACUAAGGAUAGGUGGAAUGCCAUUAAUUAAGCAAUAAUCCCUUUGAAAUCAGUCAUUACCAGCAGUUUUUUGCUAUGGGCCAUUAACACUCUAACUAGCAAGUCAUUAAUAGUGGUAAUAACCAAUUCUGAGGGGACUGCUGGUUGGAUAAACUAUAUAUAAUAAUUUUAAACUCCAAAAGAUUUCAUACUUUUAUGUUAACCUUUGAAUCAUAAGUGAGUUCAGGCAGAAUUGUCUGGCUCAUUUUAAAAACAUAAACAUUGCCCUCCUCCCUUUGUCUGUUCCCAUGCCUUGGCCUAACUUGUCUGAGCACUUGAGAAUGGGGUUCCGCACACUGCGGGAAUACAGAGGGAUGUCCCACCCUUUGACAUACAGACCUAUACAUUAGCAUUGUCUGCACUGUCUUUGUUCCUAAGGCUAGGCAUUAGUGUUCACUUCAUCUAUAAAAUGCAAGCUCACUUAGAAUCCAUUUCUGUCCAAUGUCACUGCAUGACUAUUUUUUGCACUACAGAAAUUUUGCACUAAUCAUAUAUGUAUACAUAUAUAUGUACAUAUAUAUGUAUAUAUUGAUGAUGAUGAUGAUGAUGUAAUGUGCUGUAGGUACAAAAACAACAGCCAAUAUGGGAACAGAUUCAACUGGAGGAGGCAGUGGAAACAUCCUGACCACUGACUAUUGGGCUAGCUAUACCUUGCUCCCUUGCACCCUGAAUGCUCCAACAGAAAUUUGGAUAGAAGCUCCUAAAAAUUAUUUCUUUCAAUUUUCUGAGAUUAUAAUUGCAUCCCCCCAUGUCCCUGAUCUCUCUCCAAAUCUUUCAUAUACCCCUCUUGCUCUUUAUCAAAUCCAUGGAGUGUUUUUGUUGUUGUUGUUGUUGUUGUUGUUAAUAGCUGUUUUACACACACACACACACACACACACACACACACACACACACACACUCCUAAACACAUAAGUAUAUCCUGCUCAGACUGUAUAAAGUUCUCCAUCUGUGUGUUUUCAGGGCUGGCCAUUUGCUGAUGGAUAAUGUAUUAGUGUGGUCUUCCCUAGGGAAAUACCUUGCCCUCAGUGUUCCUUAGCUCUUUGUGUAGUACGGAGGCCUCCUGGGCUUUCCUCCAUGUCUGUUACUCAUGUUUAGACAGUCAUGUUGGUGAGACACUAUGAGUAUAGUUUCUUACAUUACUCACAGUCUCACAGCAAACUCCCUGUUCCUCUGGCUCUUGCAAUCUUUCUGGCCCUUCUUCCACAAUUAUCCUUGAGCCUUAGAUGCAGUAGAAUAGUGUACUGUAGAUGUAUCCAUAGGGACUGGGCUCCACAACUCUGCCCUUGGAUUGGUUGCAUUUUCCUGUAAUGGUACACAUCUGUUGCAAAUAGAAGUUUCUUUGAGGAGAGACACAGAUUAUACUUAUCUGUGAUUAUAAAAUUAUAACUUAGUCAUGUAUUCUAUAAAUCUAGGAAAUUGGCGGUUAUAGGUUCUCUACCAUCCAUGGCGUCACUAGUCCUGGGUAGUUGGGUAGGUUUCUAGUUCUAGGCAAGAUUUACCUCUUGUUGAGAGGGUUUUAAAUACAAUUAUAGAGCUGUUGGUCACUGUAGUGGCUAUUCCUGGUUGUCAACUUGACAAUAUUUGGAAUGAACUACAAUC